rnacentral:rRNA from 1 species
UCAAGCUCGUAAGGGCGCACGGUGGAUGCCUUGGCACCAACAGGCGAUGAAGGACGUGGUAAGCUGCGAAAAGCGUCGGGAAGUGGCAAACACGCGUUGAUCCGACGAUAUCCGAAUGGGGCAACCCCCCGCGGGUCAUGCCGCGGGAUACCUUGCUGAAUCCAUAGGCAAGGUAAGCGACACCGGGUGAAGUGAACCAUCUCAGUAACCCGAGGAGUAGAAAUCAACCGAGAUUCCCCAAGUAGUGGCGAGCGAACGGGGAAGAGCCUAAACCGGCCGACUUGUCGGCCGGGGUUGCGGGACCUCGAUAUGUGGUUUUGUUUUGUAGUGGAAGGAUCUGGAAAGUUCCGCCAUAGAGGGUGAAAGGCCCGUACGCGAAACGAAACAACGCCGCUAGAGGUAUCCCAAGUACCACGGGACACGUGAAACCCUGUGGGAAUCGGGGAGGACCACCUUCCAAGGCUAAAUACUCGUUGGUGACCGAUAGUGAACCAGUACCGUGAGGGAAAGGUGAAAAGGACCCCUGAAGGGGAGUGAAAUAGAACCUGAAACCGUGUGCCUACAAGGAGUGGGAGCCCAUGGCGUCAGUGUCUACGGACACCGAGGCCGGGUGACUGCGUGCCUUUUGCAUAAUGAGCCUGCGAGUUACUCUGUACGGCAAGGUUAAGCUCUUCUGGAGCGAAGCCGAAGCGAAAGCGAGUCUGAAUAGGGCGUCAGAGUCGUGCGGAGUAGACCCGAAACCGAGUGAUCUACCCAUGGCCAGGGUGAAGUUCUGGUAACACGGAAUGGAGGCCCGAACCAGUACGUGUUGAAAAACGUUUGGAUGAGCUGUGGGUCGGAGUGAAAGGCUAAUCAAACUCGGUGAUAGCUGGUUCUCCCCGAAAUAGCUUUAGGGCUAGCCUCGUGUGGUAGCCUCCGGAGGUAGAGCACUGAAUGGUCGCGGGCCCUUCACCAGGGUACCAACACCAAUCAAACUCCGAAUGCCGGAUGUGGAAUCACGGGAGUCAGACUGCGGGGGAUAAGCUUCGUAGUCGAAAGGGAAACAGCCCAGACCGCCGGCUAAGGCCCCUAAGAGCGCGUUAAGUGGAAAAGGAUGUGGGAUUGCAAAGACAGCUAGGAUGUUGGCUUAGAGGCAGCCAUCAUUUAAAGAGUGCGUAAUAGCUCACUAGUCGAGUGAUCCUGCGCCGAAAAUGAUCGGGACUCAAACGCGCCGCCGAAGCCGCGGAUCUUGCGCAAGCAGGAUGGUAGGGGAGCGUUCCAUACUGGGUAGAAGCCGUAGUCGACAAGACACGGUGGACUGUAUGGAAGUGAUCAUGCAGGCAUGAGUAGCGAUAAUCCCGGUGAGAAUCCGGGACGCCGAAAGCCUAAGGUUUCCUGGGCAAGGUUCGUCCACCCAGGGUUAGUCGGGACCUAAGCCGAGGCCGAAAGGCGUAGGUGAUGGACAACAGGUUUAAUAUUCCUGUACCACCCACAAGCGUUUGAGCGAAGGGGGGACACGGAAGGCUAAGUCAGCCGUCGAUUGAAAGUGACGGUCCAAGUGUGUAGGGGGUCUGGAUAGGCAAAUCCGUUCGGACAUAUACCCUGAGGCACGAUGGGACACCAAACCUCACGGGGCGGUGGAUUGAUUGAUGCCCUGCCGUCGAGAAAAACCUCUAGUGAGCGAAAUGGGUGCCCGUACCGCAAACCGACACAGGUAGGCGAGGAGAGAAUCCUCAGGCGCGCGAGAGAAACCUCGUUAAGGAACUCGGCAAAAUAGCCCCGUAACUUCGGGAGAAGGGGCGCUCGUGGCGGUGUAAUUAAUACUAAUGAAGCUGCUGUGAGCCGCAGUGAAGAGGCCCAGGCGACUGUUUACCAAAAACAUAGCACUCUGCGAACUCGAAAGAGGAUGUAUAGGGUGUGACACGUGACCAAUGCCGAAAGGUUAAGGCAAGGGGUCAUUCCCGCUUCGGCGGGAAGAAGCUCUGACCCGAAGCCCCGGUGAAUGUCGGCCGUAACUAUAACGGUCCUAAGGUAGCGAAAUUCCUUGUCGGGUAAGUUCCGACCUGCACGAAUCGUGUAACGAUCUGGGCGCUGUCUCAACGAGGAUCUCGGCGAAGUUGUAAUGCCGGUGAAGAUGCCGGCUACCCGCGGUAGGACGGAAAGACCCCGUGAACCUUUACUGUAUUCUGAUAUUGUGUUUCGGUAUACCAUGUGUAGGAUAGGUGGGAGGCAUGGAAGUGCGCGCGCCAGCGCGCAUGGAGCCAGCGGUGAAAUACCACCCUUGGUGUAUUGGAAUUCUAACCGUGACCCGUAAUCCGGGCAUGGGACCGUGUCAGAGGGUCAGUUUGACUGGGGCGGUUUCCUCCCAAAAUGUAACGGAGGAGUUCGAAGGUUCCCUCAGCAUGGUUGGCAAUCAUGCGCAGAGCGUAAGGGUAGAAGGGAGCUUAACUGCGAGACCUACAAGUCGAGCAGGUGCGAAAGCAGGACCUAGUGAUCCGGCGGUGGAACGUGGAAUCGCCGUCGCUCAACGGAUAAAAGGUACUCCGGGGAUAACAGGCUGAUCGCUUCCAAGAGUCCACAUCGACGAAGCGGUUUGGCACCUCGAUGUCGGCUCAUCGCAUCCUGGGGCUGGAGAAGGUCCCAAGGGUUUGGCUGUUCGCCAAUUAAAGCGGUACGCGAGCUGGGUUCAGAACGUCGUGAGACAGUUCGGUCCUUAUCCACCGUGGGCGUAGGAGAUUUGAGGAGAGCAUUCCCUAGUACGAGAGGACCGGGAAUGACCAACCUCUGGUGUUCCAGUUGUGGCGUCAGCUGCAUUGCUGGGUAGCUAAGUUGGGAAAGGAUAAGCGCUGAAAGCAUCUAAGCGCCAAGCCCCCUCCAAGAUGAGAUCUCCCUCCCGCAUCAGCGGGACUCAAGGCACCUCGAAGACGACGAGGUCGAUAGGUCGGGUGUGUAAGUGCAGUGAUGCAUGUAGCUAACCGAUACUAAUCAGCCGUGAGGCUUGACCCC